rnacentral:rRNA from 1 species
UACGUCGGGUGCGAGCGUUGUCCGGAAUUCUUGGGCGUAAAGGGCUCGUAGGCGGUUUGUCGCGUCGGGAGUGAAAUCCACUGGCUUAACUGGUGGCUUGCUUUCGAUACGGGCAGACUGGAGGUAUGCAGGGGAGAACGGAAUUCCUGGUGUAGCGGUGAAAUGCGCAGAUAUCAGGAGGAACACCGGUGGCGAAGGCGGUUCUCUGGGCAUGUCCUGACGCUGAGGAGCGAAAGUGUGGGGAGCGAACAGG